rnacentral:rRNA from 1 species
AGCGGCGGACGGGUGAGUAACACGUGAGCAACCUGCCUUUCAGAGGGGGACAACAGUUGGAAACGACUGCUAAUACCGCAUAAUGUCAUUUGGCGGCAUCGUUGAAUGACCAAAGGAGCAAUCCGCUGAAAGAUGGGCUCGCGUCCAAUUAGAUAGUUGGUGGGGUAACGGCCUACCAAGUCGACGAUUGGUAGCCGGACUGAGAGGUUGAACGGCCACAUUGGGACUGAGAUACGGCCCAGACUCCUACGGGAGGCAGCAGUGGGGAAUAUUGGGCAAUGGGCGCAAGCCUGACCCAGCAACGCCGCGUGAAGGAAGAAGGCUUUCGGGUUGUAAACUUCUUUUGUCAGGGACGAGUAGAAGACGGUACCUGACGAAUAAGCCACGGCUAAUUCCGUGCCAGCAGCCGCGGUAAUACGGAAGGUCCGGGCGUUAUCCGGAUUUAUUGGGUUUAAAGGGAGCGUAGGCCGGAGGGUAAGCGUGUUGUGAAAUGCAGUUGCUCAACAUCUGCACUGCAGCGCGAACUGUUCUCCUUGAGUGCGCAGGAAGUAGGCGGAAUUCGUCGUGUAGCGGUGAAAUGCUUAGAUAUGACGAAGAACUCUGAUUGGGAAGCCAGCUUACUGUAGCGCCACUGACGCUGAUGCUCGAAAGUGCGGGUAUCGAACAGGAUUAGAUACCCUGGUAGUCCGCACGGUAAACGAUGGAUGCUCGCUGUGUGCAUUCGUGUAUGCGGCCAAGGGAAACCAUUAAGCAUCCCACCUGGGGAGUACGCCGGCAACGGUGAAACUCAAAGGAAUUGACGGGGGCCCGCACAAGCGGAGGAACAUGUGGUUUAAUUCGAUGAUACGCGAGGAACCUUACCCGGGCUUGAAUUGCAGAGGAAGGAAUUGGAGACAAUGACGCCCUUCGGGGUCUCUGUGAAGGUGCUGCAUGGUUGUCGUCAGCUCGUGUCGUGAGAUGUUGGGUUAAGUCCCGCAACGAGCGCAACCCUUACUGUUAGUUGCUACGCAAGAGCACUCUAACAGGACUGCCGUUGAUAAAACGGAGGAAGGUGGGGACGACGUCAAAUCAUCAUGCCCCUUAUGUCCUGGGCUACACACGUAAUACAAUGGCGGUCAACAGAGGGAUGCAAAAUCGCAAGAUGGAGCGAACCCCUAAAAGCCGUCCCAGUUCAGAUUGUGGGCUGCAACCCGCCCACAUGAAGUCGGAAUCGCUAGUAAUCGCGGAUCAGCAUGCCGCGGUGAAUACGUUCCCGGGCCUUGACACACCGCCCGUCA